CCCUACGGGGCGCAGCAGGCGCGAAAACUUUACAAUGCGGGAAACCGUGAUAAGGGAACUCCGAGUGCCCGUUAAAUCGGGCUGUCCAUCUGUGUAAAUAACAGGUGAAGAAAGGGCCGGGCAAGACCGGUGCCAGCCGCCGCGGUAAUACCGGCGGCUCGAGUGGUGGCCACUAUUACUGGGCUUAAAGCGUUCGUAGCUGGUUUGUUAAGUCUCUGGGGAAAUCUUCCGGCUUAACCGGAAGGCGUCUCAGGGAUACUGGCAGACUAGGGACCGGAAGAGGUGAGGGGUACUCCAGGGGUAGGAGUGAAAUCCUGUAAUCC
rnacentral:rRNA from 1 species